rnacentral:lncRNA from 1 species
UCUUAAGUGAUAUAGGAUUGCAUAAUUUGAUAGCACUUCUGUAUCUAUUGGCAGACUGCCGUGCCUCAUUUGCACCUAAAAGAAUUGAAUGAAAAACCUGUCAAUGAGGGACAAAAGCAUUAGACUCCAGGGAGCAAAAACUAAUGUGUUGUGCGCAAAAUAGUAACAGAAUCCUGACGGUCAGUGCUCCCCCUCCACCAUAAGGUCAUAGCUGCAAGGAACAGUUUCUGUAUCAUGUGGGUAACCAGAAAGCUGAUGUCCCAUUAUGGUCAGUGAAUUCAAAACCAUUCAGUAAGUCAUGAUCUUUUGAGACUCAAGUAUACUAUGCAUUCC